AUUGAACGCUGGCGGCAGGCCUAACACAUGCAAGUCGAACGAGUGGCGGACGGGUGAGUAAUGUAUGGGAAACUGCCUGAUGGAGAGGGUUAGCAAAUGGAAACGGUAGCUAAUACCGCAUACCUUAGGAUGGGCCCAGUGGGGUUUAGCUAGUAGGUGGGGUAAAGGCUUACCAAGGCGACGAUCCGUAGCUGGUCUGAGAGGAUGACCAGCCACACUGGAACUGAGACACGGUCCAGACUCCUACGGGAGGCAGCAGUGGGGAAUAUUGCACAAUGGGCGCAAGCCUGAUGCAGCCAUGCCGCGUGUGUGAAGAAGGUCUUCGGUUUGUAAAGGACUUUCAGCGGGGAGGCGUUACCCGCAGAAGAAGCACCGGCUAACUCCGUGCCAGCAGCCGCGGUAAUUC
rnacentral:rRNA from 1 species